CCCACUGAGGUAAAAUGGGCAACAUGGUUUCAGCUAAAAUGGGCCAUCAUCUGUGUCACUCACAAACACACAUACACGUGUUUGAGUGUGUGUGUGUGUGUGUGUGUGUGUGUACGUACGUGCGUACACACACACACACACACACACACACACACACACGCACCAUGACCCCCCCCCAACAGUAAUAAUGGUAGUAGAUAUUUCAUUUACAGUGAGUAUGGCAAACGAGAAGGAAGCGAGAGGAGAGGAGAGAGGGAGAAGGAAAGAGAGAGGAAGAGAGAGAGAAGGGGGGAGGGUGUUUCUCAUUAGCACCAUUGUGUUCUGUAGUGACCGAUCGCAGCCUAAUCAAUCAAGAGUCCAAAGAGAGACGGGCGGGACGGAGCGGAGUGGGAGCGAUGAAGAGUCAGUCUGUCUCCCAGAGCUCUGCCGGUCGCCUGGGUAAUUCCACAUUUCAUUGUCUGAAUCGCGGUUCUCAGGAAAAUACGUAUCCAUGCUGGAAUUA